rnacentral:rRNA from 1 species
UUAAGCGACUAAGCGUACACGGUGGAUGCCCUGGCAGUCAGAGGCGAUGAAGGACGUGCUAAUCUGCGAAAAGCGUCGGUAAGGUGAUAUGAACCGUUAUAACCGGCGAUGUCCGAAUGGGGAAACCCAGUGCAAUUCGUUGCACUAUCGUUAACUGAAUACAUAGGUUAACGAGGCGAACCGGGGGAACUGAAACAUCUAAGUACCCCGAGGAAAAGAAAUCAACCGAGAUUCCCCCAGUAGCGGCGAGCGAACGGGGAGCAGCCCAGAGUCUGAAUCAGCUUGUGUGUUAGUGGAACGGUCUGGAAAGUCCGACGGUACAGGGUGAUAGUCCCGUACACCAAAAUGCACAGGUUGUGAACUCGAAGAGUAGGGCGGGACACGUGGUAUCCUGUCUGAAUAUGGGGGGACCAUCCUCCAAGGCUAAAUACUCCUGACUGACCGAUAGUGAACCAGUACCGUGAGGGAAAGGCGAAAAGAACCCCGGCGAGGGGAGUGAAAAAGAACCUGAAACCGUGUACGUACAAGCAGUGGGAGCACCUUCGGGUGUGACUGCGUACCUUUUGUAUAAUGGGUCAGCGACUUAUAUUCUGUAGCAAGGUUAACCGUAUAGGGGAGCCGCAGGGAAACCGAGUCUUAACUGGGCGUUAAGUUGCAGGGUAUAGACCCGAAACCCGGUGAUCUAGCCAUGGGCAGGUUGAAGGUUGGGUAACACUAACUGGAGGACCGAACCGACUAAUGUUGAAAAAUUAGCGGAUGACUUGUGGCUGGGGGUGAAAGGCCAAUCAAACCGGGAGAUAGCUGGUUCUCCCCGAAAGCUAUUUAGGUAGCGCCUCGUGAACUCAUCUUCGGGGGUAGAGCACUGUUUCGGCUAGGGGGUCAUCCCGACUUACCAACCCGAUGCAAACUACGAAUACCGAAGAAUGUUAUCACGGGAGACACACGGCGGGUGCUAACGUCCGUCGUGAAGAGGGAAACAACCCAGACCGCCAGCUAAGGUCCCAAAGUCAUGGUUAAGUGGGAAACGAUGUGGGAAGGCACAGACAGCCAGGAUGUUGGCUUAGAAGCAGCCAUCAUUUAAAGAAAGCGUAAUAGCUCACUGGUCGAGUCGGCCUGCGCGGAAGAUGUAACGGGGCUAAACCAUGCACCGAAGCUGCGGCAGCGACACUAUGUGUUGUUGGGUAGGGGAGCGUUCUGUAAGCCUGCGAAGGUGUGCUGUGAGGCAUGCUGGAGGUAUCAGAAGUGCGAAUGCUGACAUAAGUAACGAUAAAGCGGGUGAAAAGCCCGCUCGCCGGAAGACCAAGGGUUCCUGUCCAACGUUAAUCGGGGCAGGGUGAGUCGACCCCUAAGGCGAGGCCGAAAGGCGUAGUCGAUGGGAAACAGGUUAAUAUUCCUGUACUUGGUGUUACUGCGAAGGGGGGACGGAGAAGGCUAUGUUAGCCGGGCGACGGUUGUCCCGGUUUAAGCAUGUAGGCUGGUUAUCCAGGCAAAUCCGGAUAAUCAAGGCUGAGGUGUGAUGACGAGGCACUACGGUGCUGAAGUAACAAAUGCCCUGCUUCCAGGAAAAGCCUCUAAGCAUCAGGUAACAUCAAAUCGUACCCCAAACCGACACAGGUGGUCAGGUAGAGAAUACCAAGGCGCUUGAGAGAACUCGGGUGAAGGAACUAGGCAAAAUGGUGCCGUAACUUCGGGAGAAGGCACGCUGGUGUGUAGGUGAAGUCCCUGCGGAUGGAGCUGAGACCAGUCGAAGAUACCAGCUGGCUGCAACUGUUUAUUAAAAACACAGCACUGUGCAAACACGAAAGUGGACGUAUACGGUGUGACGCCUGCCCGGUGCCGGAAGGUUAAUUGAUGGGGUUAUCCGUAAGGAGAAGCUCUUGAUCGAAGCCCCGGUAAACGGCGGCCGUAACUAUAACGGUCCUAAGGUAGCGAAAUUCCUUGUCGGGUAAGUUCCGACCUGCACGAAUGGCGUAAUGAUGGCCAGGCUGUCUCCACCCGAGACUCAGUGAAAUUGAACUCGCUGUGAAGAUGCAGUGUACCCGCGGCAAGACGGAAAGACCCCGUGAACCUUUACUAUAGCUUGACACUGAACAUUGAGCCUUGAUGUGUAGGAUAGGUGGGAGGCUUUGAAGCGUGGACGCCAGUCUGCGUGGAGCCAACCUUGAAAUACCACCCUUUAAUGUUUGAUGUUCUAACGUUGGCCCCUGACCGGGGUUGCGGACAGUGUCUGGUGGGUAGUUUGACUGGGGCGGUCUCCUCCCAAAGCGUAACGGAGGAGCACGAAGGUUAGCUAAUCCUGGUCGGACAUCAGGAGGUUAGUGCAAUGGCAUAAGCUAGCUUGACUGCGAGCGUGACGGCGCGAGCAGGUGCGAAAGCAGGUCAUAGUGAUCCGGUGGUUCUGAAUGGAAGGGCCAUCGCUCAACGGAUAAAAGGUACUCCGGGGAUAACAGGCUGAUACCGCCCAAGAGUUCAUAUCGACGGCGGUGUUUGGCACCUCGAUGUCGGCUCAUCACAUCCUGGGGCUGAAGUAGGUCCCAAGGGUAUGGCUGUUCGCCAUUUAAAGUGGUACGCGAGCUGGGUUUAGAACGUCGUGAGACAGUUCGGUCCCUAUCUGCCGUGGGCG